rnacentral:rRNA from 1 species
UACGAAGGGGGCUAGCGUUGUUCGGAAUCACUGGGCGUAAAGCGCACGUAGGCGGAUCUUUAAGUCAGAGGUGAAAUCCCAAGGCUCAACCUUGGAACUGCCUUUGAUACUGGAGAUCUUGAGUCCGGGAGAGGUGAGUGGAACUGCGAGUGUAGAGGUGAAAUUCGUAGAUAUUCGCAAGAACACCAGUGGCGAAGGCGGCUGACUGGUCCGGUUCUGACGCUGAGGCGCGAAAGCGUGGGGAGCAAACAGG